UUUCAUUAGUGUAAAAAAUGAAGCAACUCAACGUUCCUUCGUUACUAGUUCUAAAAUUACGUUUUGGAAUUAGUAACGGAGGCUUGGGCGCAGCUGUUAAACUGUCAACUUUAGAUUUGAAUCCAUGGCGGAAGUAGUUCCGCACAAAAGAGGGUGUUUAAAGACUCUCUAUUGUUGUUUCUUAUGUAUUUACACACUUGUGCCAUCGAACUGUUGUAUAAAAGCAAUAUCACACGAGUAGCCGUGAGAUGUGGCUGCAUAUCAGCAUGCUGUAAGUAAAUUCGUCCUACGGCUUAAACACAGCUGUGCUGAUAUACAGCCAUAUCGCACUGCUACACACACACACACACAUAUAUAUAUAUAUAUAUAUAUACAGUAUAUUAACAUUUUGGCAUUUUCUGAAGAUUAGAUUUAACAUUUAAUUACUUUUGUUUUAAAACAUAAACUUUAAAAGAAUGUUAGAUGAUGGUAAAGGCAAUCUUAAAUGUGAAAAUAAAGAAAUGCUCAAUUCAUUAGCAUCAAAUAUAAAAUAUCAGAUGAUAAUAAUAAACUAAACAAAUCUAUAAUAUCGGCCAAUAACCCAACACACUCUUAAGACAGUUUGUUACUAUUUCAAAUUUUCACAAGUUGGUGGCUAAUUUGUAUGAAUCUGUACAAUCUCAUUCAUAUGUUUAUACAUACAAUUCGCUUAUGUCCCACUGAUGGGUAUAUUUGUAGAUUUAGAUUACCUUUAUGCUUACUUUUUUUGAAAAAUAUUUUAUUUUAUUUUUGUAUUAAAUUAGUUUCUAUAUGAAUCACAUCAUACAAAUUCAUACAAAAUCCUCCCUGUGAAAUAGUUACGCUUUCUCAUGAGAUCGAGUUGAUAACCAAUAUGGAUAGCCAAUAUGAUACCGAUAUAUUGUUCAACCCCAAUUAAAAAUACAGGGGAUCCAUCUAUAAAAACAAAAACAUAAUGCUGUAAGUGUUGUAAUUGCGUAAAAAUGUAUUAUUUUUUUCAAUUCUCAGGACUAUUGAAGAUUUGUGCUUGUAGAAAUGAAAGGCCUGCAGAACUCUCACAACAACUUCGUUACACUGAUCUAGAGUCGACACAAGUUAUUCAGCAGCAUCUAGAUCCAAACCAAUCACAGUACAUACUUUCUCUUUAGUGAAGAAGACACAACAGCGCCUGUACUGGGCAGACAGGAUGAGCAGACAAAUAAUUCAUUAUCAGUGAAGCAGCAAAGGAAAUAAAAACCUCUUUGUCAACACUAGAGGUCAGUAGAUUGUAAUCCUUGGAGGUGAGUCUAAGACACAUUCAACAUUAAUAUGCAAUAUUUUUAUUUAUUUAUUUUUUUGUCAUACUGAGUAUCUGUAGAUUAUUACAUAACUGUUUAUAACCAGGGUUUAUUUAGUUACAUAUAUGCAGUACUCUGACUCUGCUACAAGGAAACAAUAAUAAAAAUAAUAAUAAUAAAAAUAUGAGUAUUAAGGUGGUUUAUAAAUGAGCCACAAACCAGCUGGAAGCAAAAAGAUGAUGAAAUCACUUCUUGGUAUGUCACAUUUCCAGUGUAACCUCCUUAAAAUACAAAACACACACACACACACGUACACUAAACAAAAAAACUAAACUAAAUCUUAACAAAAAAUAAAAAUAAAAAACCUUCCACAUAUGAAACCAUGUGCACUGUUUUUUUGUUGAAAAUGUGAAUGCACUCUGACCAGCUUAGUUUAUGAGUCAAACAGAAACCUGUUGUGGUCUGAGCUGUAUUUGUGUCAGUGUAGCACAGAAGUCUAAUAUGAAUGUGUUUUUUUCCUGUUGGUUGAACAAACAGUACUUGUUCCUAAUAGUGUGUCUAUUAAUGCAUGUGUGGUUGAUUAGUUUGUGAGUAAAGUAUAUCUUGCCCAAUCGUAUGAACCUCACAGUCUCACAUCCAUUCUGCUCAUAUUUUGUGCAAAGCUAUAUGUGGUGACCUUUUCAUCAUAAACUGUAUUUCAAGUCAAAAUAUCAACGAUUAUAGUCCAUUUGGCUAAAGCUCAAAGCUGGUAACUGGAAGGUUGUUAGUUUGAGAUUACACCUGGGUGUAACAUUUUUAUAGAAUCAGUGCAUGCUAAAUAACUAUUAAUGUACAGAUAAUGAAAAGAUAUAGUGAUUCACAUUUAAAAAUAAUACAGAAUUAAAAACAGGAUACCUAUUUUUCCCCAUAGGCUAAAACACCAGCUUUCACCAACAGUCCAAAGCGCUCAACUCUUAAUAAAUAUUAUACUCAGUAAGAUAUGUAAAUAUAAACACUGUAGAAUUGAUUUGUUUUAUGUUACUGAAAUAAUAACAGGGCUGUGUACAUAAAAAACAAAACAAAAAUAAACCACAACUAUGUGCCUGUGCGCGUUCACACGAUGGGAUGUACAGUCCUGUGUAGGAGCUUCAAAUGAUAUUUGAGGUGAUUGUAUCAUAAGUUAAACUGCUGAAGAAUAUGGUUCUUGCUUUGCUUCACUUAUGGUUGUGGCAUUUCAAUGGUAUGUAUUUAGAUUUUUUAAAUUAAAAAAAAAAAAAAUUCAUUCAGCUCAUGUAAUAUAGAGAAAAAUAAUGUAAUGUAAAUUUGCAGAAAUUACAUGUCAACCAGCAGUUUAUUUAUUUAUUUUUUAUAAUAGAAGAGUGUUUAAGUUUUUUAUUUUUUUCUUAUCUAUGUUAAAUCAGUCUGAAAUGCUACUCACUUUUUACUAUUUAGUUGGGUAACAAGUGGAAUAAAGAAAGUAAAAGGGUCAUGUUUAUGUAUGAAUGUGUUUCAGGAGUGUUUGGUGUUGACGUUUGUCAGUGAUGGAGGGAGAUUCGGUCACUCUACACACUGAUACUGACACACAGGGAAAUCAUACAGUGAUAGAGUGGAUGUUUGGAGCUGAAAACACAGAUACUGUCAUUGCUGAAAUCAAUAGAGCGGCAAAUAUCAGUGAUGUUACUGAUGAGAGAUUCAGAGACAGAGUGAAGAUGGACAAUCAGACUGGAUCUCUCACCAUCACCAACAUCAGAACCACAGACUCUGGACUUUAUCAAGUAGAGAUCAACACAAAUAAAGAAGCAGAGAAAACAUUUAAUGUAACUGUCUACGCUCUUCUUCCUGUUCCUGUCAUCAUCAGAAACACUUCACAAUGCUCUUCAUCAUCUGAGAGUUCAUCAGUGUCUAAAUGUUCACUGCUGUGUUCAGUGCUGAAUGUGAGUCAUGUGACUCUCUCCUGGUUCAAAGGAAACAGUUUAAUCUCCAGCAUCAGUGCGUCUGAUCUCAGCAUCAGUCUCUCUCUAUCUCUGGAGGUGGAACAUCAGGAUAAAAACACCUACAGCUGUGUGUUAAACAACACCAUCAGCAACCUGACCACACAUCUGGACAUCAGUCGACUCUGUCAGCCGUGUGCAGGUACAUCAGAGAUGAUAUUAGUGUUACACACUGAGCUGAUCUUCUUUCAGCUGCCUAGUUUUGUUGACAAGAAAUAUUGUAGUUGUUUAAUUGAUAUUCUAAUAUCAAAAAUAUUUCUGAACCCAUUCCAACCCAUAUAUAUACAGUAUGUAUGUGUGUAUAUAUAUAUGUCGCGGUCCUACUCGCCCCGCGCCGAGCGGAUUUCGAACCGCGGUCUCCGGAGUGGGAGGCGGGCGCUCUAACAAGGAGGCCAAGGCCUCUAGCAUCAGUCGCUAGAGCGCUACUUGAGAUCGGGGAGUGAGGUUUUACAUGCACAACACUUACCCGCUGGCCUCUGUUACAUAUAUAUACACAUUUAACCAACAGAUGUAUCUUUUAAUAAUUAUUAUUCAGCAUUAUCAUUCCUCUGUCGUGUGUGUCAUGUGUUCCUGCCUCUUGUUUCCUUAUUUGGUCUUGUUCCUGUGCUUGUUAAGUGUGAUUAUUAGUUAAGUCUUGUCCAGCUGUGUUUAGUCAUUAUCAGUAAUUGUCAUGUGUAUUUAGUUCCUGCCUGUUCAGUUAGUGUUUGUCUGGUCUACUCGUUAUUCCCCGGUGUUCCUGUCUGUGUCAGCCUUGCCUUGCCUUUAUUUUGAAGUUUAUCCUCGUCCCUCCCUGCUGUGUGCACCAUGACAAGCAUUCGUUAGUUUCAUCAAUUGUCUUUUUUAUUUUAUUUAUUUUUUUUAUAGAUCUUGUCUCCAUUCAGACUGUUAUUCUGGUGUUUGGUCUGAUCAGUGUUGUUCUGGUCUCUGGGAUGUUUGGUUUUUGCUGAUGGAAGUAAGAAACGCCCACAACGACCUGAAGAUACAGACCUACAGCAGCUUCUUAUGAGUCUCGAACAACCUGAAGACUCGACGCAAACACUGAUACAUUAUGUGUGUUUUUUUUUUUUUUUUUUUUUUGUGGAAAUUCAUUUCCAAAUAAUAUAUUUCAAAGUUUUUCAGCUAAUUUGUCUCUUAACUGCAACAUGUUUGAAGCAUAUUUCAGUAUACCGAUGUGGACACUUACACAUUGAGUGAAGGAUUUGGGUCAAUAGCAGAACUAGAUAUUCAUGAUGUAAGAGGUUCAUAGUGACUGGAUUUGAUAUUUUUCCAUAUUUCUUAGAUUUAGCAUGCAUAAUACCUUGAAUUGCUUCAUAUUAUGCUUGACUACAAUGCUAGAUUUCCAAAGAUAUCUCUUUUUAAUAAAUCAAAACAAAACAACUUUUUUUUUUUUUUUUUUUUCCAUUUAUUCUUGAUUUUAAGACUGAUGCACAUGCAUUGAAUAAUACUAAACACAAAUAUGGUAACAUAUUUAGUUCAUUCAGUUUUUAAGUGUACUGAUUACAUCAAACUGUUGACAUCAAGUUUGUUGAUUCUUGUGGACCGCAGACAGAAAACAUGAUUCUCGAAGAGUUCAAUUUACACACAAAUUACAUCUCAAAUAUACAAUCCUGUUAAAAAGUCACAUUCACACUACAAUAACCCGGAGCAAAACCUGGCUACUGUUGCUGCUUUAGUUCAAGACAUCAGAGCCAGAAUAAAACUAUCAUCAAACAUGGAAAAAAAAUGCUGAGAUGAGUAUGUUAACUUUACACUUUUUAAGGGUUUGUCAAAAACUAUGUAUUAAAUGGGGAAAUAAGUCUGUGGUCACAUUCACACAGGAGGCAAGUGAUAGACAUGAAACCACACUAUUGGUUGAUAUUAUUUUUACAUCUCACACACACACAACCCUGUCAAAACCAGUCACAUACAAUAGACUGGAGCAACAGACAAAACGUUCUCACAACAUUCUUAUGUAUACAAGCAUACAUUUAAAAAAAAUAAAUAUGCAUAACAAAUACAAAACCUGCGUUUUCAGUGUGGGUGUGUGUAAUUUACAUUGCAGAGUAAAACGCCCAAGUAUCAUCAAUUUAUAUUUUACCACAGGCCUUUUUUUACACAUAAAUUGAACAACCCUAUUAUAAAACGUUUACCUAAACCGUUUUUACCUUUUAAAUUAACCAUACAUGUUACAUAUUUCAACUGGCGAGGGGAUGGAGCUGAGAUGCAACUAAAGGAAGCGAAAAAAGGAAAGGAGUAUGCACAAAUAUAAAUUUAGAAGACCCA